rfam:Firmicutes bacterium CAG:41 genomic scaffold, scf154
UUAAUUACAAUUAAUAGUGGUGCAGUAUCCUAGUCAGUACGGCUCUUCGGAAAGCGGGCCUAAAAAUCCGCCAAAUGGCACAUCGAUGAAGUUUCUGGUGUUUUGCUUUGAACGCCCAGUUCGGGGCUGAUGCUGGGAGUUAAGGUUUAGGGGCGGUUUCCAACGGCAUGGUAACCUUACCCCCUUUUCCGUGGAGGCCUAUGACUGUGGCGGCCCAUACCUCCUAAGGGAGCAAGUCGUUACGGCAUAGGGGAAAACCUGUUUUGCGGUUAGUAAUUCACGUCCUCACAAGGGACGUGGUAUGAAUGCUGUGGGCAGCGUAGCCAGCCUUGAGUGGAUAUGGCGGAUAGACGCCCAAAACUUUUUCGCCACUCGGCCAGUGGCAAAAAGGCAAUGCGUCUUGAAACCAUAUUUGCAAAAGAGGAUACGGAAAGCUCAGGCUGUUUGGGAAAACUUCUAGGCUGUCGUAAUUGGAUGAACAGGGGAUUGCAGUGCGGACUCAGUGGCAAUCCGGUAACUACAAAACAGUAUAAGUCUUUAAUGGGAAACCGCUUUUUCGGCGACGAUUAAGCAGAUUUAUGGGAAAGCCAACCGGACCUAUGCCGCAAACUUUACUCUGUUCAUUACCCUAUUUAAAAUUAAUUGA